GAUGAACGCUAGCUACAGGCUUAACACAUGCAAGUCGAGGGGAAACGGCAUCGAAAGCUUGCUUUUGAUGGGCGUCGACCGGCGCACGGGUGAGUAACGCGUAUCCAACCUGCCCAUCACUUGGGAAUAACCUUGCGAAAGUAAGACUAAUUCCCAAUGACAUCCCACGAAGGCAUCCGAAUGGGAUUAAAGAUUUAUCGGUGAUGGAUGGGGAUGCGUCUGAUUAGCUUGUUGGCGGGGUGACGGCCCACCAAGGCAACGAUCAGUAGGGGUUCUGAGAGGAAGGUCCACCACAUUGGAACUGAGACACGGUCCAAACUCCUACGGGAGGCAGCAGUGAGGAAUAUUGGUCAAUGGGCGAGAGCCUGAACCAGCCAAGUAGCGUGCAGGAUGACGGACCUAUGGGUUGUAAACUGCUUUUAUAAGGGAAUAAAGUGGGUCACGUGUGACUUUUUGCAUGUACCUUAUGAAUAAGGACCGGCUAAUUCCGUG
rnacentral:rRNA from 1 species